rnacentral:rRNA from 1 species
AGAGUUUGAUUCUGGCUCAGGACGAACGCUGGCGGCGUGCCUAAUACAUGCAAGUCGAGCGGACAGAUGGGAGCUUGCUCCCUGAUGUUAGCGGCGGACGGGUGAGUAACACGUGGGUAACCUGCCUGUAAGACUGGGAUAACUCCGGGAAACCGGGGCUAAUACCGGAUGGUUGUUUGAACCGCAUGGUUCAAACAUAAAAGGUGGCUUCGGCUACCACUUACAGAUGGACCCGCGGCGCAUUAGCUAGUUGGUGAGGUAACGGCUCACCAAGGCAACGAUGCGUAGCCGACCUGAGAGGGUGAUCGGCCACACUGGGACUGAGACACGGCCCAG